rnacentral:piRNA from 1 species
UGAGGAACUAGGUAAACUGGAACCUUGUC